GAACAGGGGUGACACCACCAGGUUUAUUGGGAUGGAGCUGGGGGACCCCAAAACCGCAGGGACAGUCGGACGGAGCGUCAGUCGGACAGAGGGACAGACAGGACAGUGUCACUGCACUGUGGCCAUGGGCUCAUGAUGGUCACUGCGGUCAGGAACUGUCCCCAGGGUGGUCACUGUGGUGGUCACUGUGGUGGUCACUGUGGUGGUCACUGCUCCAUGGUGGUGUCCUCAUGAUGGUCACUGUGGUCAGGAGCUGUCCCCAGGGUGGUCACUGUGAUGGUCACUGUGGUCAGGAGCUGUCCCCAUGGUGGUCACUGUGGUCACUGUGGUGGUCACUGUGGUCAGGAGCUGUCCCCAUGGUGGCUGUGAUGGUCACUGUGAUGGUCACUGUGAUGGUCACUGUGGUGGUCA
rnacentral:lncRNA from 1 species